GAUGAAGAACGCAGCGAAAUGCGACAAGUAAUGUGAAUUGCAGAAUUCAGUGAAUCAUCGAGUCUUUGAACGCACAUUGCGCCCCCUGGUAUUCCGGGGGGCAUGCCUGUCCGAGCGUCAUUGCUGCCCUCAAGCACGGCUUGUGUGUUGGGCUCCGUCCCCCCGGGGACGGGCCCGAAAGGCAGCGGCGGCACCGAGUCCGGUCCUCGAGCGUAUGGGGCUUUGUCACCCGCUCUGUAGGCCCGGCCGGCGCCAGCCGACAACCCAUCAUCCUUUUCAGGUUGACCUCGGAUCAGGUAGGGAUACCCGCUGAACUUAAGCAUAUCAAUAAGCGGAGGA
rnacentral:misc_RNA from 1 species